AAAAGGAAAGUUGUAGAUCUUGUUUUUACCUACGCGUGGAUAUAAAGAACGUCAAAAACGGAGUUCGUAUGCGAAAGUUAUGAAUUUUUAAAGAUUGGUUGUUUUACCUGCGUCCGACACCACUUGUCAGCACCAAACUUCGCCUUGGAGCCUACGCAAAACUCACGACGUGAACACCCUUUUUCACGACGUGAAUUGGCCCAGACAGCCUAUAAAUAGAGGCAUAAAUCACCCCCAAAACUCACACCUUUCAUACUCUUUCUCUCCCAUUACCCCCAAACCAUCUUCCCCUUUCCCUAGCACCUCCUAGGUGCUAGAGGCAAGUCCCGGAGCGCCAGACGGCUCAAAGAAGAAGAGCCUUUCGGCUUGGGAACGCUGCUCCAGCGGAGCCCGGUUUUCUUUAAAACCCGCUGUAAGUGAGCUGCGCCUACACUAUUUUUAAAAUAGCUUUCAAAUAAUUAUAGUAAUGUUAUUAGGUUCUAAAAUAAUUAUUUGGGCUAUUAUUAUGAGUUAUAUAGAGUGUUGUUUAAUGCUUAUAUAAUAAUAAUAAUAGCUAGACUAUUAAUUAUUCGCAGUUAACGUUAGACUAAUCCCUAGUGGUAAUGAUACUAGGUUUUCUCGGAGGAAAUUGUUUUUAUAUAACGAAGUGCUAUCCUAGUGAUAAGUCACCACCUUAUCGGGUGAGUGCAUAGUUACUUUCAUCUUAUACAUAGAUAUGAAGUAUUUUAUAUAAAUUACGUGCUAUGUUUGCAUAUUACCUGAGUACUUGCUGUCUAUGUUGGAUGAACAAUUUUAUACACGUUUUAAAUGAUUUAACCUGUAUAUGUAUUUUAUAUCUACAAAAUGUGUUGGGCAGAACAUGGGUAGAUGUAAUAGUUGUUGUGUGAUAAAAUAAAAUAAUGAGAGGCCUCGUUAUAGAUGUUAUUGAUGAUCCAGUCAUCUAGCGGAGUAUAGAUGACAACCACGGAUUAUUCUACAUAGUCCAGUGGAACACUAGCAAACUCGCAACCUGUAGGUGUUUAUUUGAACUGUGUGUUUAUUUGAACUGUGUGCUCACCAGGUGUACUCCAUCCCCCAUAUGGUUGCCUUAAGGACAUUUAUUGCUGAGGAAUCCCCUUAGCAGUAGUGUACAUCCCGAUGAUAGUCCUUAGACUAGGUCCCUUGUGUUAGAUGUUUUAGGGACGUAAAGUGAGGAUAACGGGAACGGGUAAUCGGGUUUGUUUGGUNCCCACAUCGGCUUGGAAGGAGAACGAAACAUUUCCUUAUAAAGGGGUGUGGAUCCCUUCCUUGCCACAACAACGCAUUUUAAAGCCGUGAGGGCAGUAGAUCCCAUAAGAACUCUGCAGUUAAGCGUGCUCGGGCGGGAGUAGUACCAGGAUGGGUGACCCCCUGGGAAGUCCUCGUGCCGAGUGGCCCAAAGCGGACAAUAUUGUGAUACGUGCCAGAGGGGGGUGUUACAUUAUAUCACAGGUGUCGAUAUGAAGUGACAUUACACUGAGACAUUAAAGAGAUGUAGAUCACUAGUGUAAAUAAAUGUAAGUUCUGUUUAUGCUUAUGUUCCUGUAUUGAAAAUGACAUCCCAAACGUUUUAAAAUGAAUAAAAUACGUUUCUUCGAAAAUGUUUUGAUAACGUAUUUAUCGUAUUUUUCUGGGAACAAAUUCUGCAACAUUUUUAUGAAUAGAACUACUCUGAUUUGUAUAAAGCAUAAACAAAAUCGGUCUUUUCUGUCCGUGAAAAUGGGGAUGUCACAGUUGGUAUCAGAGCAUUAGUUUAAGCGAACUAGGAAUUUGUAGGAAAUUUCUAGACUUAAACUUAGAAUGCUAAGCGAUGAUUGUGAGCUGUGAGCACUAGCUUAUGUAGGAAGUAUGCCUAAUAUGCUUUUAUGUGCUAAAUGAUUUAUGAUGCUUUGUGCUGCUAAAUGUAUGAUCGGAUCUAUGGUCUGUUGCCGACCAGAUCUGGAAACUUUAUGUGUUCAGAUUUCUAAACGUUUACUUACGGUAUUAGAACUGGCAUGUAACUUUUCGGAGUGAUAGGGAGAAUUAUACGUCGAUCAUAAAUAAAAUCUUCUCUAUCUAAAUUCUCGUCACUCUACACCGGACAUCUAAAUUCGAUGUGUAGAUCGACAUGAUGAACACUAGAAUCGGAUUUGGAAGUGGUAACCCGCAGCCCGAACCACCAGUGAUUGAGCAUGUGCUAGAGGUAGCAACUGUACCUGGGCCAAUCACGAUGGCCAGAGUACAAGCAAUGGUGCGGAUAAUGUUGGAUCAACAGAUGGAAGAAACAAGGCGUUUACUUUAACAAAGUAAGGACGAACUUACUGUGCUAGUACGCCAGACACCCGCUCUUGAGGCAACCAUCUGGGUUGCUAAGUCUGUCGAAGAAAUGAUCAACGAUAGGAUCACCAACAAGGUUGAAGUUGGCAAGAAGAGGAAAUUUGAGGGUUCUUCAAGGUCCAACAUGAAAAACUUAUUUUCACAGUCUGGAGGAGGAAGAGGUGAAGCAAAAUGGUGUAAUAGGAGAUACCCUAAGGAAGUGACCUGCUUCAAAUGCGGGAAGAUUGGUCAUUAUGCCCAUAAAUGCUCAACCAAGGAGGAAGUUUGCCUUAAGUGUAAUGGAGAGGGACACUUCAAGCAAGAUUGUCCGAUGAGAGCAACUACACCAAAUGUACUGCUAAAACACUAUGACGGAUACGAUGAGAAGGUGACUUGCUACAAAUAUGGAAGGACAGGGCAUUACGCCAACAAGUGCACAUCCAAGAGAAAGGUGUGAUACGGAUGUAACAAAGAAGGACAUUUAUCUAGGGACUACCCGAAGAAAAAUGAAGUAGCAGGAGCGAAUACACCUCCAGAGCUAAGGAGCAUCCUUGAAAAAGCAGCUGGCAACGCAAGGAAUCAAGAGUAAGGACGGAUGACCGAAGAUCAAGUUAUAAAGUAGUCACGUAGAGAGUACCACGUGGUGUAGCCUAUUAGAGGCAUAGUCUAGGGUGAACUUGAACACCUAUGUAAUAGUUUCAAGAAAUAAUAAAUCCUUCGUUUUGUUAUCUGGUGUGUUAAACUGUUAUGUGAUUUUCUUGUAUGGUGACUUGGAGACUGCGAGACAAUACUUGGGACGAGUAUGAGUAGGUGUGAAUGGUAGUAGAGGCCUAUACUACCGGAAGCAUAGGACUCACGCUUGGAUCAGGGAAAGUCACAAGGUUACCAAGAAGCCAAUAAUUGAUUCUGAUUUAUUCAAAUAUGUCGUUACCAUCGUUUCGGUAAUGACUAAGAAGAUUGUUGUUAUCCCGACCCUAGUGGUCAUAUCACAUUGAGUCUGACUACGAUGAGUAUAUUACGUGGUUCUGAGAACCAAGUUCGAUGUAACAUCUGACUUAAGCCGUAGGAUUGAAGUAAAAGAUGAUCGAAGUAAUCGGUAGAGGUAUCGCGAAGAUUGCUUGUAGCUAGAAAUUCUACCUUUUAAGAUGUGAUUAGAACAUGAAGGAAGGUAUAGUCUGUUCUGAAAUUUGACUCUAAAAGACCUGAGUCCAAGCAAUGCAUCAUACGAUGAGAGGUCGUUAGAACAUGACCCAUCGGUCUAUUAUGAUAAUUGAAGUAAGAAACUUAUCUCAACUUUGUUAAAGAAGGAUCCUCCAAUAAAGAUCGAGAUCGUGACAUGAAGAUCAUGAGAUAGAGAGCGGGUCCAAGAUCGGGCACCGCCUGCAGUCAGGAAGUCUUAAAGUUAGAUACUUGUUCGAAGAAACAACAAAGUUACGAUUAUUACUUAGGAUGAAGAGAUAACGUAUGGAGUCAUCAUGUGAGCCCUGUUUCGUUGAUGAUUGCGGGACGUAAUCAUCCUAAGGGGGAGAUAAUUGUAACGCUCGUAGAUCCAGGCUAGUCAAUUUAGAGAUAAUAGGGGUCGAAAACGACUUUUCGACAAAUGAUUAUUUAGAAUAACUAAUCUUAACCAAGCUGUAGAAUAUGUCUCAAGGGUUCCAUACAUAUAAAGAACGCCGAAAUCCGAGUUAUAACGAAGAAGUUAUGGCCCGUCGUAGUUUUACGGCAAAACCGGCACGGCACCAGGAGACGUAAAUAGUGAACUUACGAUGGAGGACUUUUUAGCCUUAGUAAUAUAAACCAAAGUUUUAGUAUAUGUUAAAACAAGAACAUACAAAAAAAGAACGCCCAAAUCUGACUUCGUAUGAGCAAGUUAUGAUUUUUCUAAGAUUUGGCAUAGCAGUGCACGGCCCGAAACUUGAAUUUUAGUUCGAGCUGUUUUUGGCUUACGCAACCUUAAUGGGAGUUUAAGAUCUCAUUAAUAGGAACUCAACGGUAAAAAGACAGACGGAAAUGGAGUCCGUAUGAAGGAGUUACGAACUCAUUGCGAUCAUUUAACAGUCUAAUCUCCUCCUACUGUUAAAUUUAAAAUCGGUUGAGAAUUAGCCAAUGGAGUCAAAAGGAAAGUUGUAGAUUUUGUUUUUACCUACGCGUGGAUAUAAAGAACGUCAAAAACGGAGUUCGUAUGCGAAAGUUAUGAAUUUUUAAAGAUUGGUUGUUUUACCUGCGUCCGACACCACUUGUCAGCACCAAACUUCGCCUUGGAGCCUACGCAAAACUCACGACGUGAAUUGGCCCAGACAGCCUAUAAAUAGAGGCAUAAAUCACCCCCAAAACUCACACCUUUCAUACUCUUUCUCUCACAUUACCCCCAAACCAUCUUCCCCUUUUCCUAGCACCUCCUAGGUGC
rnacentral:lncRNA from 1 species